AUUGGGUUUUGAACUAUUUUAAAAUUACUCAGAUUUUUUCAAAUUCAUUUUAAAUUAUCAGAUGAACCACGGCGGAGAUGGUGAUAAUGUCGUCUUAUUGUGGGACUACUACUUCUAUUACUGAUACUAACGGUGUCCGUUUCACGGAGAAGAAUUUACCUACCUCACCGCUUCUUCGCUGUCGAAGCCGUCGAUGGCGGCAUAACCGUACUGUCACUGCUAUUGUUUUGGUUGCUGCACUUUUCCUCUCCACCACGGCCUGGCUGUCUCUCGUCUUCUCCGCCACCACUAUCCGUUGCUGGUUAUGUUUUAAGAACUGGGAAGUAAGCCCCCAUUCGCAUUUUCAUUCUCAUUAUAAACCCUCAUUAGCAUCAUUUCCCUCUCCGCCUCCGCCUCCACCUCCGCCUUCGCCUUCGCCUUCAUACACAUCUCGCAAUCGCAGCAUGUCUGAGCGGGAAGGAGAAGAGGGGUUGUCUCUCAAGCAUAUAGUCUUCGGAAUUGCUGGAUCGUCUCGCCUCUGGAAACAGCGUAAGGAGUUGAUGAGAUUGUGGUGGCUUCCCAACAUGCGUGGCCAUGUCUGGUUGGAGAAAAUGGUGCCGUUUGAGAAGGGCGAUGAUUCCUUACCACCUUCCAGGCUUUCCGAGGACAUUUCCCGCUUCCGCUAUACCAAUCCCACGGGCCAUCCUUCUGGACUUCGGAUCUCUCGCAUUGUAAUCGAAUGUUUUCGCCUCCGACUUCCAAAUGUUCGCUGGUUUGUUCUCGGUGAUGACGAUACCAUUUUCAAUAUUGAUAAUCUCGUUGCUGUUCUUAGCAAGUAUAAUCCUUCUGAGAUGGUGUACAUAGGUAGCCCUUCUGAGAGCCACUCUGCUAAUACCUAUUUUAGUCACUCUAUGGCCUAUGGAGGUGCUGGGAUUGCCAUUAGCUACCCGCUCGCUGAAGCCCUCUCCAAAAUUCAUGAUGAUUGUAUUGAGAGAUAUCCUGAUUUCUAUGGAAGUGAUGACCGGUUACAUGCCUGCAUUACCGAACUAGGUAUUCCGUUAACUGUAGAGCAUGGCUUUCAUCAGUGGGAUAUCAGGGGUAAUGCUCACGGUCUUUUAUCCUCUCACCCUAUAGUACCAUUUGUUUCUAUUCAUCAUGUUGAAGCUGUAGAUCCUUUUUAUCCUGGUUUGACAUCUUUGGAUAGUUUAAAACUCUUCUCCAAAGCCAUGAAAAAGGAUCCUGGGAGCUUUUUACAGAGAUCAAUUUGCUAUGACUGGGCAGGGCGAUAUACAAUUUCAGUUUCACUUGGUUAUGUUGUUCAAGUCUACCCUAACAUUGUGCUUCCUCGUGACCUGGACCGCUCUGAGCAGACUUACUCUGCUUGGAACAGAAUAAGUCACCGCAAUGAAUUUGAUUUUGAUACCAGGGAUCCUAAUAGAUCUGUUUGUAAAAAGCCGAUUUUAUUUUUCUUGAAAGAUAUAGAUGGACAAGGCAAUGCUACAGUGGGAUCAUAUGUACGAGCUACAGGAAAAGAUAAUUUGAAAAGAAAAUUUCUCUGCUUCCUACAUUCAACUCCUCUGCGUUACAUCAAGAAAAUCCAGGUUUUGGGGUAUCCUCCCAGGAAGAAUUGGCAUUUGGUACCUCGUAGAUUUUGUUGCAAGAUAAACAAAUUUGAGGAUGAAAUCCUUAAAAUAACGGUUGGCCAGUGUGGGAAUGGAGCUUUAAGCUCUGUUACUGAUUCUAUGUGAAUGUUGGACGGGAUGAUGGCAAAUAGUCUGAGCACAACUAUAUAGAAUGUGAAUUUAGUAAAGAAGAGGGGAUCUUGACUACAUUGUUAAGCCGCAUCGACUUAACCUCUGUUUUGCAAUGACCAGUAUUCAACUUACAUCCAGCAUUUCAAAACACAUGCUUGCUGAUUGCAGAUAUGGGAAUGCAUUAGUGCUAAUCCUUAGUUUGGAGACAUAUUCUUUGCCUUCAUUUUUCCUGGGAAGAUUCUUUGCAGCAGUUGCAUCAAAAGCUUGCUGCACUAAUAUGAAUAAGUUACUACGUUGUUUGAAGUCUUGCGACUGGUGAAGUGGACUGUUGAAAUAAAUACUUUAAGAGGCAAAGUUAUAGUUUGACAGCACAAUAGACAUUUACAAGAGGCACAUUGCAACAAUGGCUGGACCAGAACCAGGGAGUUUUGGAACGCAUUACUUAGCUUUGGAUAUGGUGGGACCAUACUUGUGGAGUGUGCUUACUCAAAGCGGGUUUUUCGGCACUGUUGAGAGUUAAUAAUGGAUUUGUUGGGAAUUUUUGCCAUCUAGUUGAGAAUGAUAAUAUGAAAUGAAGUAAAGACUUGAAGAGACCGUGGGAAGGAAGAUGUGACAACGCUGUUUGAUUUGAAUCAGAGGGACAUGACGAUGAGCCCUUUACGACAAAGUUGAUGGUGGUGAUGGAGGUUCAAGGUUGGUGUGGGAGACAAGGAGGGAGGCAAUGGAGGCUUGGGGUUGGGUGAUGGAGAUGGUGAAGUUCAGGGAAGUAAGGCUGAGUUUAUGAGGGUGGUGGUAGGGUGACAUCUGAUGAGUUCAUGGUGGUGACAACGACUACUGUUUCUGGUGUUGGCAUUCAAUUUGCGAUUCCGAAGAAUUGAAGGAGUAUGCAGAUAAUGGUGGCAGUUGUGGGUGGCGUCUAUUGAGUUUCAGUUUUGAAGAAGGUAGGUGGUAGAAAGAAGAAAAGAAGAAGAAAUGUGGGUAAAUGGAAUUUUCAAAGUUAAAGGGUGAAAAAGGUUAAUUCAUCAAAGUUCGGUUGGGAAAUAGUUAUUUGGCCUUAAAUUUAUCUAGAUUGAAGUGCCUUAUUCUUGGUUACAACUCUUCUUGACCAUUUUCCUCUUAUGUAUUUUCUACUCCGGAAAAAGGGUUUGUGAUUUACUUGAAAAAAAAGGGAAGAAGAAAAUUUCAACGUUUGUGGGGCUGAGAGUGGGCCUAGUUUGCGAGAAAAGCCCUUUCUUCCUGUUUUCUUUCUCAAAAUUGAUGAAAACACGUGUGCAUCACUGGAUAA